GACAGAGGGUGCUAGCGUUGUUCGGAAUGACUGGGCGUAAAGGGCGCGUAGGCUGUUGAUCAAGUUAGAUGUGAAAGCCCCGGGCUUAACCUGGGAACUGCAUUUAAUACUGGUUGACUGGAGAGCGAGAGAGGAAAGCGGAAUUCCUAGUGUAGAAGUGAAAUCUGUAGAUAUUAGGAGGAACACCAGAGGCGAAGGCGGCUUUCUGGCUCGCAACUGACGCUGAGGCGCGAAAGCGUGGGGAGCAAACAGG
rnacentral:rRNA from 1 species